AGCGGGGUAGAGGAAUUGGUCAACUCAUCAGGCUCAUGACCUGAAGACUGCAGGUUCGAAUCCUGUCACCGCCU
rnacentral:tRNA from 1 species